UACGAAGGGUGCAAACGUUGCUCGGAAUUAUUGGGCGUAAAGGGCGCGUAGGCGGUGCGGUAAGUCACCUGUGAAAUCUCCUGGCUCAACUGGGAGCUUGCAGGCGAAACUGCCGUGCUGGAGUGUGGGAGAGGUGCGUGGAAUUCCUGGUGUAGCGGUGAAAUGCGUAGAUAUCAGGAGGAACACCUGUGGCGAAAGCGGCGCACUGGACCACAACUGACGCUGAUGCGCGAAAGCUAGGGGAGCAAACAGG
rnacentral:rRNA from 1 species